GAGGGUAUAGCUCAAGUGGUAGAGUGAGUGAUUAGCAUGCACCAGGUCCCGGGUUCAAUCCCCAGUACCUUCU
rnacentral:tRNA from 1 species